GUCAUAGCCUAACGGCUGAACCAGCAACUUGGAGGAAUGUAUAGCAAUUGCUAUUUGCAUUAAAAGUUUUUAGUGUAAAAUCGACUUUGUCGAAUAAAAUUCUGGGUAGAAUUAUGAUAAUGACAUUACCUACUCAUAAGUCUUGACCAAAUUACGUGCCAGCAGUCGCGGUAAUACGUAGAAGACAAGUGUUAUUCAUCUUUAAUAGGUUUAAAGGGUACUUAGACGGUAAAUAAAGCCUCCAAAAGGUACUAGUUUGCUAGAGUUUUAUAUGAAGGAGUUUUAAAGUACUACUGGUGUAGAGAUGAAAUUCAGUUAUACCUUACAUGGCACAGGUUAAGGCGAAAGCAUCUUCUUAUGUAAAAACUGACGUUGAAGGACGAAGGCUUUGUGUCUCGAACAGGAUUAGAUACCCUAGUAGUCUAAGCAGAAAAUGAUGAAUGUCAUAGAUUAGAUUUAAUUUGAUCUGUAAAUGAAAGUGUAAGCAUUCCACCUCAAGAGUAAUUUGGCAACAUUGGAACUGAAAUCAUUAGACCGUUUCUGAAACCAGUAGUGAAGUAUGUUGUUUAAUUUGAUAAUCCGCAAAAAACCUUACCACAAUUUGAAUAGAUAUAUUUUAUCAUACAAGCGUUGCACGGCUGUCUUCAGUUAAUGUCGUGAGACUUUGGUUAGUUCCAUUAAAUUAACGUAAACCCUUACUUUAUUUUUAUAUAAAGUAGUUCACCGCUAUAUUGGAUGUGAUAAUAGGGAUCAAGACAAGUCAUCAUGACCU
rnacentral:rRNA from 1 species